UCGAGGGGCUUCGGCCCCGUCGAGAUAGCACCCUUGCCCUUACGAGCACCUGUACGUUUCCUCGGCGGUCGUCGGCCGCCAACGGGGACCACUCAAACGCUUUGCAAUGAGAAGUAACCGUCUGAUAUAAACUAAAAUUUGUUA
rnacentral:misc_RNA from 1 species